GAUAGAAACCAACUGAUAUAGAAGAAUAAAAUAGGGAAAAUCCCUUUGAUUACUGAAUAAUAUUGCAGAACUUCGAGGGUCUGCACCUCCCUAUUGCUAAAAUGGCCCCUUCCCAGUCAAUCUUCCCAUCUCUCCCCUAUUUAUUCUUAAAACUUAACCUCCCACUACUGACUUAAUUAAUUAUUAAUCAUAAUAUAAUAAUAAACCAUAACUGCAUAAUUAACUACUAUAAUUAUAAUAAAACUGACACAAUUCUAAUAAGAUAUCUAACAAUACUCCCCCCCUAAAGAUUCACCUUAUCCUCAAGGUGAAGGAUAUCAUAAGUGUCCACCUGGGUCCCAUAACUGAAGUAUAAUGACAGAGCGAUGUGUGAAUCAUGCAAACUUAUGCCCUGAUCAUAUACUCUGUUUGUAGUGAUAUUUUUGAGAAAAAAAUACUGGAUGAUUGAUGUUGUGGUGCCCAUAGUAGUCCCCCUUAUCUCUGACCCCAUACUCAUUUCUUUAUUGCAAUUAAGUUUGCACAAAUCCGUUUUGCUCUCCUGUUCCAUUUCCAUAAUCAUGACAUGCAUAUGGGCAUUUUCUACAUAUCUCUCUAUUUUCCCCAUUUCUUCAUCCUUCCAAACCUUUCUCUUCUCCUAUCGCGGUGGGAUUUGGAUUGCCCUGGUCAAUAUCUUGUGGUUGAAUAUUGAAUGAACCUUGAGUCGUCAACCGCUCCAAUUCAGUUUCAGGUUCCUCUUCUUUAUCAGACAUAGGCAUGAUAUCCCGAUAUUCCGGUUUUAAACGCCAAAUAAAUGCAAGUGAGAACAUAUGCCAACUAACCUGUUGAUGGCGUCGAUUCCACCAGUGUGACCAUUGGCGAGCACGACCUCUGAAUAACAUCAGCGCAUCUGUCAGUUUCUCCUCAUCUGGUGUAUCUCUCUUUUUGAAUGUUCCUCAAUGCAUAGCAGCCACCAGUAUGCAUCUUCUUUGCCAUCAAACACUCGAAACUCCAUUUCUUCCAUAACGGUACAACGGUUCCAAGAUCGAUGCUCUGAUACCAGUUGAUAGAAACCAACUGAUAUAGAAGAAUAAAAUAGGGAAAAUCCCUUUGAUUACUGAAUAAUAUUGCAGAACUUCGAGGGUCUGCACCUCCCUAUUGCCAAAAUGGCCCCUUCCCAGUCAAAUCCUCAGAUGCCCCUCAAUCUUCCCAUCUCUCCCCUAUUUAUUCUUAAAACUUAACCUCCCACUACUGACUUAAUUAAUUAUUAAUCAUAAUAUAAUAAUAAACCAUAACUGCAUAAUUAACUACUAUAAUUAUAAUAAAACUGACACAAUUCUAAUAAGAUAUCUAACAC
rnacentral:lncRNA from 1 species